AGCGCGGGGCAACCUGGCGGCGAGUGGCGAACGGGUGAGUAAUAUAUCGGAACGUACCCUGGAGUGGGGGAUAACGUAGCGAAAGUUACGCUAAUACCGCAUACGAUCCAAGGAUGAAAGCAGGGGACCGCAAGGCCUUGUGCUCCUGGAGCGGCCGAUAUCUGAUUAGCUAGUUGGCGGGGUAAAAGCCCACCAAGGCAACGAUCAGUAGCUGGUCUGAGAGGACGACCAGCCACACUGGAACUGAGACACGGUCCAGACUCCUACGGGAGGCAGCAGUGGGGAAUUUUGGACAAUGGGCGCAAGGCUGAUCCAGCAAUGCCGCGUGAGUGAAGAAGGCCUUCGGGUUGUAAAGCUCUUUUGUCAGGGAAGAAACGGUGGGGGCUAAUAUCCCCUGCUAAUGACGGUACCUGAAGAAUAAGCACCGGCUAACUACGUGCCAGCAGCCGCGGUAAUACGUAGGGUGCAAGCGUUAAUCGGAAUUACUGGGCGUAAAGCGUGCGCAGGCGGUUUUGUAAGUCUGUCGUGAAAUCCCCGGGCUCAACCUGGGAAUUGUGAUGGAGACUGCAAGGCUAGAGUUUGGCAGAGGGGGGUAGAAUUCCACGUGUAGCAGUGAAAUGCGUAGAUAUGUGGAGGAACACCGAUGGCGAAGGCAGCCCCCUGGGUCAAAACUGACGCUCAUGCACGAAAGCGUGGGGAGCAAACAGGAUUAGAUACCCUGGUAGUCCACGCCCUAAACGAUGUCUACUAGUUGUCGGGUCUUAAUUGACUUGGUAACGCAGCUAACGCGUGAAGUAGACCGCCUGGGGAGUAC
rnacentral:rRNA from 1 species